rnacentral:rRNA from 1 species
UACAGAGGGGGCAAGCGUUGUUCGGAAUUACUGGGCGUAAAGGGCGCGUAGGCGGCCUGCUAAGUCGAACGUGAAAUCCCCGGGCUCAACCCGGGAACUGCGUCCGAUACUGGUAGGCUUGAAUUCGGGAGAGGGAUGCGGAAUUCCAGGUGUAGCGGUGAAAUGCGCAGAUAUCAGGAGGAACACCGGUGGCGAAGGCGGUGGUCUGGGCCGGCACUGACGCUGAGGAGCGAAAGCGUGGGUAGCAAACAGG